CACUUCAAGGAUCCCAUUCAAUAUGAGUCUAUAUACUUAUAAAAACUCUUUGAAAAAGAAACUAUCCCUAACUGGAUACCAAAAGUUUGAGCUACAGAUUGCUAGGCAGAGAAUACCACUGGAAGGACACCACAAAGAUGUUUGUCUGCCUGCCAUAUUUUCAGAAGAAUUGAUCUAACAUCUUAUGAGUUUUGGUGCUACUGGGACUGACCAGUGUUUGAUGGUUGGAGAGUGGAGUGGGGCUGGGAAGCUGUGUUUCAUGUUGGUUUCCUGCCUGCAGAACUGUCAUUAUCAACCACGUAGUCUGAAAGCUCCAAUUUAAAGGAUGCUCACAACGUCAUUCACUUAUCUGAAGAGCAAAUAUAUUUGCUGAAAAGAUGUCUGAUUCAAUGGGAAAGUCCUUCAAAAUCAACAUAAAAGAAUUUGUCAAGGCUCUUGGAUAUAUACAAGAGAACUCUUCAACAUUGUAAUGAGAAAAUGACUAGAAUCCUCUUCUCAAAUUCUGAGAACAUUCAGAAGCAUAACAAUUCAAGAAGGAAAAUAGGCAAAGUACCUUUGGAACCUUCUCCUCUGACUAAAUUUAGCUUCAAAAAGUGGAGUCUGGCAAAGAGCAGGGGUCAGCCUGUUUCUGCUGAUUGCCAGUCAACAGAUUUGACAUUCCUUUGGUUGACCGCAGCUAUUCCACUACAUGUACUCUUGGUGAAUCCACAGAUGGCUCAAUGAUCAUGGGUCUGGGGUGAAAGAAGAUGAAAACCAGAGUAAUAGAAGGCAGACAGAGGGCUGUAUUCUGCUGACAGACUACUGAGAACCCAGGCAGCCCUGCGAUUACAGAGAAAAACACUCUCGUCCAGAAUUAUUGGAAAGCAAGAGUGGCAAAUACAGUGCUGUACUACAUGGGGGGAAUGCAAAGUCGAGAGAGAAGGACACAUGGAAAGGCAAUGAGUAUUAAAAUGAGUUGCAAAAUGGGGAGAGGCAGCCCCAGGGGCAUCCUUCUUCCUGACAAGUCCCGAGGCACGGCCUGUGCCUUCCAGAGGAGUCAUUUCAGCCUCCUGGGGAGGAGGAGCUGGCAGGCGCAGUCUGCCCUAGACAAGUGCUUGU